UACGUAGGGGGCAAGCGUUGUCCGGAUUCAUUGGGCGUAAAGAGCUCGUAGGUGGUUUGUCGCGUUGUCCGUGAAAACUCACAGCUCAACUGUGGGCGUGCGGGCGAUACGGGCUAGCUAGAGUGUGGUAGGGGAGAUCGGAAUUCCUGGUGUAGCGGUGAAAUGCGCAGAUAUCAGGAGGAACACCGGUGGCGAAGGCGGUUCUCUGGGCAUGUCCUGACGCUGAGGAGCGAAAGUGUGGGGAGCGAACAGG
rnacentral:rRNA from 1 species